GUCCGGGAAUUAUUGGGCGUAAAGGGCUCGCAGGCGGUUUCUUAAGUCUGAUGUGAAAGCCCCCGGCUCAACCGGGGAGGGUCAUUGGAAACUGGGAAACUUGAGUGCAGAAGAGGAGAGUGGAAUUCCACGUGUAGCGGUGAAAUGCGUAGAGAUGUGGAGGAACACCAGUGGCGAAGGCGACUCUCUGGUCUGUAACUGACGCUGAGGAGCGAAAGCGUGGGGAGCGAACAGGAUUAGAUACCCUGGUAGUCCACGCCGUAAACGAUGAGUGCUAAGUGUUAGGGGGUUUCCGCCCCUUAGUGCUGCAGCUAACGCAUUAAGCACUCCGCCUGGGGAGUACGGUCGCAAGACUGAAACUCAAAGGAAUUGACGGGGGGCCCGCA
rnacentral:rRNA from 1 species